rnacentral:rRNA from 1 species
UGGGGAAUAUUGCACAAUGGGCGCAAGCCUGAUGCAGCCAUGCCGCGUGUGUGAAGAAGGCCUUCGGGUUGUAAAGCACUUUCAGCGGGGAGGAAGGCGGUGAGGUUAAUAACCUCACCGAUUGACGUUACCCGCAGAAGAAGCACCGGCUAACUCCGUGCCAGCAGCCGCGGUAAUACGGAGGGUGCAAGCGUUAAUCGGAAUUACUGGGCGUAAAGCGCACGCAGGCGGUCUGUCAAGUCGGAUGUGAAAUCCCCGGGCUCAACCUGGGAACUGCAUUCGAAACUGGCAGGCUAGAGUCUUGUAGAGGGGGGUAGAAUUCCAGGUGUAGCGGUGAAAUGCGUAGAGAUCUGGAGGAAUACCGGUGGCGAAGGCGGCCCCCUGGACAAAGACUGACGCUCAGGUGCGAAAGCGUGGGGGGCAAACAGG